UUUAAAGAUAUACACACAGGAAAUAGGUCUCUUUCGGGAAGCUAGGAGCACUGCAGGAGCUAUCUCUGGAGUCAGAUUGAGGUCUGCUUUUCCUGGUUAGAAAGUUGUUUUAAUGGUGAUCAUGACCACUCUUCUACCUAUCACAUCAGCACCCUGCCUCCUAGCAUACACACCCUGUUCCUAAGGGAGGAAGUACCUGCAGCCACCACCUCUGGCCUUCAGCUUCCUCAGCCCAAGCUUACUGUGACUUUUGUGGUUCUUGAACUUCUGAAGACCCACGUACACCUGGACACCAAACCAUCACAUUUCGGUCGUCUCGGCCCCUCACCAGCAAGAGCACGCCGUGGAAGAUGGGGCACAAGAGGUUUAAACAUCUGACCACAAAGGGACAUGGAUCACUUCCGCCCAGCAUUCCACGUGAUGUUUCACUUCCUGCAUCAGUUUUAGGAUGGUUUGGCAUAAAAAAUUAACAUUUAAAUUGGGGGCCUUUGAGUGAGGCAGAUCACCCUCCAUAAUGUAGGCCAGCUUCUGCCAGAAGGCCUUAGCAGAAUGAAAAGACCAACUUUCUUAAGUAAGAUGGAAUUGUACUGUAAACAGCCUUCAGACAGCAUCUGUAACAUUAGCUUUCCUGUUCUCCAACGACCCAGCUCACAAUUUUAGACUCAUCAUCUUUCACAAUUAUAUAGACAAGUACACACACACACACACACACAUACACACACACACACACACACACCUGACUAAUAUGCCCCGUUGACCAGUUUAGGCCUAUGAGCCACAGCUGUGGGGAGGUGAGAAACACUACUCAUUCAGAUGCUUGAACAGUGGCAGCCAGUGCUUUCUAAAGCAGAGAGCUGACUGAGCUGACUUCACAGCCUUCUUGUGUUAAAUCCACCACAGCAUAUCAUCUUAUCAAUUCUCUUUAUGCCUCACUACUGACUUCAGGUCUUCCUGAUAUACUAAACAUCUCAUUGCCCCUCCAUCGUAUAGAUACAUGCUCCAUCCUGGUCAGCAGUGACC